GACGAACGCUGGCGGCGUGCUUAACACAUGCAAGUCGAACGAUGACGCCCGAGCUUGCUCGGUCUGAUUAGUGGCGAACGGGUGAGUAACACGUGAGCAACCUGCCCUUCACUCUGGGAUAACCUCGGGAAAUCGGGGCUAAUACCGGAUAUGAGCUCCUGUCGCAUGGCGGGUGUUGGAAAGUUUUUCGGUGAAGGAUGGGCUCGCGGCCUAUCAGUUUGUUGGUGAGGUAGUGGCUCACCAAGGCGAUGACGGGUAGCCAGCCUGAGAGGGCGACCGGCCACACUGGGACUGAGACACGGCCCAGACUCCUACGGGAGGCAGCAGUGGGGAAUAUUGCACAAUGGGCGAAAGCCUGAUGCAGCGACGCCGCGUGAGGGAUGACGGCCUUCGGGUUGUAAACCUCUUUCAGCAGGGAAGAAGCGAAAGUGACGGUACCUGCAGAAGAAGCGCCGGCUAACUACGUG
rnacentral:rRNA from 1 species